GCUUCCGAACGUCCUUUGGGUUCUUGGUAGAGGGUUGUUAGGCAUAUAUAUUAGGGGAUUCGUUAAAAGAAUCCCAGUCCGCCUCAUAAUAGAAGCUACGCAAAGUCAAAGAGAAAGCAAGGAGAUAAAAAAAAUUUAAGCAAAAUUAUGAGAGCAUACUAAAGUUCACCAAGACAGGAAACUCGAUUUACAUCCUUAGCCUAAACUAUUUCUCUGAUCAAGGGUGUAAGUUGCGUUCCCUGCCUUGUUGAACUUCAGUAUGCCUUCAUAAGUUGCCUUCCUCCUUUUCUGCCUACUGUUUUCUCACCUCCAUGUUUACAUUCAUUCUAUCUUCUACCUCUCCCAAUUCGCUCAAGCAUCCUUUGAUCCCGCAACUUUUUGGAUCUAAAUCCAUUUCUUUCCACCACUUUUCGCGGCUUUACUAGAAGGUUUCAUUUGCUUUGUGGUUCAGAUUUGUGUGCUGCUUGUUCGAGGAUGAUGGAGCUUUCUCCUUGUUCGUUUCUGGGGCUUUCGGUGAUUGGAUUUCAAGCAUCUUCAAGAGGUGCGGGUUUGUGCGGGGUAGAUGGUUCUUGCUGGCCUUUUGCCCCAGUGGCAGCCGUUGAAAGCGUUUACAUAAUUUAUUGGGGAAAACCGUUGGUUUCGCUUUCUGCCCUACAACUGGUGGACUGAUAAGAUAGACGGUGGUAAUGGCUCCCACGGGGUAACCCAAGAUCGGCUUUUUCAUGCAUCAUAGACGAAGAAGGGAUCACUCGUGAUGAAACUGUUGAGAGUACAACCUCUCACAGCAACAAUGUACCAGAUUAGAUGUUUACUUAGCUAUUAAGCUUAGCAUGGUUAGUGAUUAGUUGUACAUUAUGCUUAGCUGGCACAUA